rnacentral:rRNA from 1 species
GACAGAGGAUGCAAGCGUUAUCCGGAAUGAUUGGGCGUAAAGCGUCUGUAGGUGGCUUUUUAAGUCCGCCGUCAAAUCCCAGGGCUCAACCCUGGACAGGCGGUGGAAACUACCAAGCUGGAGUACGGUAGGGGCAGAGGGAGUUUCCGGUGGAGCGGUGAAAUGCGUAGAGAUCGGAAAGAAACAACGACGGAAGACACUCUGCUGGGCCGACACUGACACUGAGAGACGAAAGCUAGGGGAGCGAAUGGG